GCGGCUGUGGCGUAAUUGGUAGCCGCGCCAGACUUAGGAUCUGGUGACGAGAGUCGUGGGGGUUCGAGUCCCUUCAGCCGCACAA
rnacentral:tRNA from 6 species